rnacentral:rRNA from 1 species
GAAUUCACUAGUGAUUUGGCGGCGUGGUUAAGACAUGCAAGUCGAACGAGAGAAUUGCUAGCUUGCUAAUAAUUCUCUAGUGGCGCACGGGUGAGUAACACGUGAGUAACCUGCCCCCGAGAGCGGGAUAGCCCUGGGAAACUGGGAUUAAUACCGCAUAGCAUCGAAAGAUUAAAGCAGCAAUGCGCUUGGGGAUGGGCUCGCGGCCUAUUAGUUAGUUGGUGAGGUAACGGCUCACCAAGGCGAUGACGGGUAGCCGGUCUGAGAGGAUGUCCGGCCACACUGGAACUGAGACACGGUUCAGACACCUACGGGUGGCAGCAGUCGAGAAUCAUUCACAAUGGGGGAAACCCUGAUGGUGCGACGCCGCGUGGGGGAAUGAAGGUCUUCGGAUUGUAAACCCCUGUCAUGUGGGAGCAAAUUAAAAAGAUAGUACCACAAGAGGAAGAGACGGCUAACUCUGUGCCAGCAGCCGCGGUAAUACAGAGGUCUCAAGCGUUGUUCGGAAUCACUGGGCGUAAAGCGUGCGUAGGCUGUUUCGUAAGUCGUGUGUGAAAGGCGCGGGCUCAACCCGCGGACGGCACAUGAUACUGCGAGACUAGAGUAAUGGAGGGGGAACCGGAAUUCACGGUGUAGCAA